CCUACGGUAGGCAGCAGUGGGGAAUAUUGCACAAUGGGCGACAGCCUGAUGCAGCAACUCCGCGUGAAGGAAGACGGUUUUCUGAUUGUACACUUCUAUCAUUAGGGCAGAAAGAAAUUACGGUACCUAAAUCAGAAGCCCCGGCUAACUACGUGCCAGCAGCCUCGUUAAUACGUAGGGGGCAAGCGUUCUCCGGAAUUACUGGGUGUAAAGGGAGAGUAGGCGGCAAGGUAAGCGAUAUGUGAAAGCCUUAAGCUUAAAUAAAUGAUUGCAUAACGAACUAUCUAGCUAGAGUACAGGAGAGGAAAGCGGAAUUCCUAGUGUAGCGGUGAAAUGCGUAGAGAUUAGGAAGAACACCAGUGGCGAAGGCGGCUUUCUGGAAUGAAACUGACGAUGAGGCGCGAAAGCGUGGGGAGCGAACAGGAUUAGAUACCCCAGUAGUC
rnacentral:rRNA from 1 species